GGGCGUAAGCGCACGCAGGCGGUUCGCCAAGUUUGGAGUGACAGUUGUCGGCUCAACCGAUAAAGGACUUCAAAAACUGGUGAACUUGAGGACGAGAGAGGAACAUGGAACUCCAGGUGUAGUAGUGAAAUGCGUAGAUAUCUGGAAGAACACCAAUGGCGAAGGCAAUGUUCUGGCUCGUUUCUGACGCUCAGGUGCGAAAGCCAGGGGAGCGAACGGGAUUAGAUACCCCGGUAGUCCUGGCUGUAAACGAUGACCACUAGGCGUGGGAGGUAUCGACCCCUUCUGUGCCGUAAGCUAACGCGUUAAGUGGUCCGCCUGAGGAGUACGGUCGCAAGAUUAAAACUCAAAGGAAUUGACGGGGACCCGCACAAGCAGCGGAGCGUGUGGUUUAAUUCGAUGCAACGCGAAGAACCUUACCAGGAUUUGACAUGUUUGCGCACCGCCCGUAACGGGGCGUGCCCGCAAGGGACGCAAGCACAGGUGCUGCAUGGCUGUCGUCAGCUCGUGUCGUGAGAUGUUGGGUUAAGUCCCGCAGCGAGCGCAACCCCUAUUGCUAGUUGGAUUUCUCUAGCGAAACUGCCCGCAAGGGAGGAAGGCGGGGAUGACGUCAAGUCAGCACGGCCCUUACAUCCUGGGCGACACACACGCUACAAUGGUCGGGACAACGAGUCGCCAACCCGCGAGGGGGAGCCAAUCUCAACAAACCCGAUCUCAGUUCAGAUUGUAGCUGCAACUCGCUGCAUGAAAGUUGGAGUUGCUAGUAACCGUGAGUCAGCACAUCACGGUGAAUACGUUCCCGGGUCUUGCACUCACCGCCCGUC
rnacentral:rRNA from 1 species